rnacentral:rRNA from 1 species
GACGAACGCUGGCGGCGUGCCUAAUACAUGCAAGUUGAGCGAUGAAGAUUGGUGCUUGCACCAAUUUGAAGAGCAGCGAACGGGUGAGUAACGCGUGGGGAAUCUGCCUUUGAGCGGGGGACAACAUUUGGAAACGAAUGCUAAUACCGCAUAAUAACUUUAAACAUAAGUUUUAAGUUUGAAAGAUGCAAUUGCAUCACUCAAAGAUGAUCCCGCGUUGUAUUAGCUAGUUGGUGAGGUAAAGGCUCACCAAGGCGAUGAUACAUAGCCGACCUGAGAGGGUGGUCGGCCGGAUUGGGACUGAGACACGGCCCAAACUCCUACGGGAGGCAGCAGUAGGGAAUCUUCGGCAAUGGACGAAAGUCUGACCGAGCAACGCCGCGUGAGUGAAGAAGGUUUUCGGAUCGUAAAACUCUGUUGGUAGAGAAGAACGUUGGUGAGAGUGGAAAGCUCAUCAAGUGACGGUAACUACCCAGAAAGGGACGGCUAACUACGUG